rnacentral:rRNA from 1 species
AUGGAUGAUAUAUUUUUCUUGUUGCAGAAAGGUGUGGAAGACAGGCUCAGCGCGCUGACCGACGACAUCUUAAUCUCUAUCUUGGAGAAAGUCGACGUUGCCACGGCGGCAAGAAGUAGCGUGUUGUCAACGCGGUGGAGAAACUUGUCGUGGUUACUUUCUGAUCCCAAAUUUCAUGCCACGGACUUCCUUAGUGCCCCAUGCGGAGGAGCUGCACGCCACAUUGAUCAAGCAAUGGCGUCCCUGGCAAGAGCUACUGGCAGCUUCUUGGCUCAGCCCCGCAGGGAACGCACCGUCAAACAGCUAUGCCUUGAGCUCUAUCUCACGGGCAACUACUCGCGUGACAUCGGCCUGCUAGUCAGCAGCACUAUUGACAGCGAGAUGGUAAAAGAUUUGGAGCUCGCCAUUUUAACUGAGAAGGAGCCCAAGGACUCCAAACACGAGGUCAUGGUACAGCAAGCUCGUGAGGUGAAUGGAUUCUUCAGUGCCUUCUCUAGCGUUCUUCGUUGCCUCACAAGGCUCCAGCUACACAAUGUUCGCUUCGCUGACCAGGACAUGAAUCACCUCCUGUUUGACUGCUGCAAGCAACUGCUGCACCUUAGUCUGAACCACUGUAAUACCGAGGACUAUUCUGUGUGGAAGAUCGAUGCGCCAAAUUCGAAUCUCAGAGUUCUAGAGGUCUAUUUUUUCCAGAUUAAAAGAGCUGAGGUGCUCUGCCUUCCAAAACUUGAGCGGGUCCUCUGGCAGUCUUGGUUCUCUUGCGAGGCCCCCUUGAGUUUUGGUUAUGUCCCGUCACUCAAGGAAUUGUCCCUUGUCUCUAAUGCGACUCUCCGUCACCUAGACUUUAGUUUAAGCCAGAUUCUGCAUGGUGCAACAAACACAAAUGCUCUAACCUUAAACUUUCAAGGAGAAAAGCUCUGGAUGGAACCAGAAGGAAAACAACUCUGCACUGCAUUCAACAAGCUAAGGAAGCUGUCUAUUCAUGGCAUCUUUAUUAAAUUUGAUUUGUUAUGGACAUUAAAUCUCCUUGAAGCUCCUCCAUCUGUUGUGAUAUUUGACGUUGAGAUGUUUGAACAUCCAUGCUGGGAGAGUAAUAAAACAAGAAUAAGUUAUGGUGCUCAGAGAGUGAAACCUUCAUGGAAGAUGCCUGGGUUCACGAGCUAUAACAAGUGGCAAUUGAAAGAGUUUCAGUUGCUGGUUUUAGGCCCCCUGGAGCAACACUUUUUAUUUGUAAGUACCAUAAUGGGUCGAGCUCCGGACUUGAAGACGGUUCUUCUAACAGAUGGUAAAUAUCCAUGCAAGGACUGUGACGCAAUGGUUCCAAUACCUCCUCCGAUAGGGGGAUUCUUCCCAACAUACAGGGAUGGGCAAGAAGCAAUAGCCAAGCAACUUAGGGAGAGGGUCCGGUCGUUGGCACAAAUAAUUUUCCGUAGUGGUUCAACAUACCACUCUCGGGCAGCCCAGUCAUGUAUUUAUUAG